CACGAACUGCGCAAACGUUAUUCGGAAUCACUGGGCUUAAAGAGUUCGUAGGCGGCGCGUUAAGUCGGGUGUGAAAUCCCUCGGCUCAACCGAGGAAUUGCGCCCGAAACUGGCGUGCUUGAGUAAGAUAGAGGUGAGCGGAACUGAUGGUGGAGCGGUGAAAUGCGUUGAUAUCAUCAGGAACACCGGUGGCGAAAGCGGCUCACUGGGUCUUAACUGACGCUGAGGAACGAAAGCUAGGGUAGCGAACGGGAUUAGAUACCCGUGUAGU
rnacentral:rRNA from 1 species